GGAGAAUGGAGUCCAGCUGCCAUUUCAAAAACGGGGCGUAUUCCGAAAAGCCAAAUGAGUAGGAGAUCA
rfam:Pedobacter cryoconitis strain PAMC 27485, complete genome.